UUGGAGUCUUUGUGCUAAAUAAGAUCCUUGCUGGUAGUUACUGGCAGUGAGGGAGGCAUCUUCGUGCAAGCAUCAGCUCCUUCGGGUCAUCAGAGUCAGUUGGGGCUGGGGCCGAGUCAGCCACAGAUCGUCUGCGGUCGGUCCGGGGCUUCCCUCCUCUGUAGGUGGAUGGAAGGGCUUCGCUCGCUCUGGUCACUCCAAAGGCCUAGCGUUGGCCCAGUGACAGACGGCACCCGGAACUGACCUGGCAGCCCGACCUCCUCCUCCUCGGUCCAGGCUUGAUUUGGGGGUUAAAGGUGAUACUUUUUGAGAACGGUAGUAAAACAUUAAUGACUCUUGGGUGACCUUGGACUGUGCUUUGGAUUCGACAUCUAGAAAUGUGAUGUAUUUCUUUGUUCGUUGUCUUCCCACUGGAGUCGAAGCUCUGUGAGAGCAGGACCUUGGCCCGUUUGUUCAUUGCUGCCUUCCCAGGGCUUGGAGCAGAGCAGGUACUCAGUGCGUGUUUGUCAAAUGACCAGAUGGAUCCCAUCACCUGUCCUACACUUGUUGACCAUUGCCUUUGAGGCACUUGCCAUCUCCCCGGGCAGACGUGGGUGUUACGCAGCAGUCGUGAAAUAAUGAGGCAACAGCGUUAAGACCAACAGAGCCAGGAGCUAACACAUGGGCAAGGCGGGCACGCCUCGGCAGGAAAUCAUCGGGCUCGGAGGCCCUCCUGGGCCAAGGGCUGAGGUCAGGCCGGCGCCUCUGUGUCUGCUGGGCAAAGAUCAGGUUGGUGCAGGGUAGGGGCUGGGUGAGCAUGAACGAGCAGAAAAUACAUUCUGGGUUGCCCUAAGGACAUGGAGAAAACUGCUAGUUUUUAAAAAUUGAACUCAAUUCUGUCUUAGUUGACUUCAAGAGCAUGGUCAAAGUCAUUUCUAGCAGAUCAUACCCUAUCUGGUUUGGGGCUGUUCCUUAGUGCCUGGAAACAUCUAUACCAUGCUGGGGCUCUUACAGUUCCAUUGUUUGUGGUCCUGAGACUUGGCUUUCCUAAACACAGCCCAGAAGUUCUCCUCUUCCCAACGCUGGGCAGGCUGCUGAGAAGUUGCCCAUCUGCGGAAGCACAUAGACAACGUGAGACAAACUUAUCAGUCAUCACAUUUAAAAAAAAAAAAUGUCUCUCAAGACGCCUG